GCCUGGGUGGCUCAGUCGGUUAAGCAUCCGACUUCAGCUCAGGUCAUGAUCUCACAGUUCGUGGGUUUGAGCCCCACAUUGGGCU
rnacentral:tRNA from 1 species